rnacentral:tRNA from 1 species
GGGCCCGUAGCUCAGUGGUCAGAGCGAGCGACUCAUAAUCGCCAGGUCGCAGGUUCGAUCCCUGCCGGGCCCA